CGUACAUCAUGCGUGCUAACACGCCAGCCAAUGAAAUCCUGCAAACCUUCCAAAAGAUUCAGCCGUGUUACCCUGUGGCCUGGUCUCCAGGGAUGAAAUCUCUCUUAAGAAAGCUGUUGUGUGUAGAUGCUCAGCAGAGGAUUUCCAGCCUGUCAGAGCUUCAGGAUGUGGAAUGUCUGUCUGAAGUCAACUAGGACACUGUUCUUAACAAACAAAUCCCACCCGGCUUCCUCCCUAAUAGACGGAGACUGAACUGUGACCCCACGUUUGAGCUGGAGGAGAUGAUCCUUGAAUCCAAACCAUUACAUAAGAAAAAGAAGAGACUAGCGAAAAAGACAAGAGAGAACGGCUCUGAUGGAUCU